UGCUAAAAACGCAUAGACUUGGACUGCUAUGAUAGCACUACUGUCUACUGGUUCUAAUAAAUAGUAAAGUUUAUAAAGGAAUAAUAUCUACUUAUUUGAUAGAAUUCGAAAUCAGACAUAAAACUUUCAAGGUUACAUGUUAAUCAUCUUUCAACGUUAUAUUGCUGGAAUGGAAAAAGUAUGAAGAAAGAGCCUUUCAAAGAUUUAUUGUUAACUAAAUGCAUAAAA